rnacentral:rRNA from 1 species
UACGGAGGGUGCAAACGUUGUCCGGAUUUACUGGGCGUAAAGCGCAUGUAGGUGGUUUGGUGUGUGAAUGAUUAAAGACCGACGCUUAACGUCGGGAGUGUUAUUCAAACUGCCAAACUCGAGGAUAGCAGGGGUACAUGGAACUUUGAGUGUAGGAGUGAUAUCCGUAGAUAUUCAAAGGAACACCAAUGGCGAAGGCAGUGUACUGGGCUAUUUCUGACACUAAGAUGCGAAAGCGUGGGGAGCAAAC